rnacentral:rRNA from 1 species
GAUGAACGCUGCGGCGUGCCUAAUACAUGCCAGUCGAGCGAACGGACGAGAAGCUUGCUUCUCUGAUGUUAGCGGCGGACGGGUGAGUAACACGUGGAUAACCUACCUAUAAGACUGGGAUAACUUCGGGAAACCGGAGCUAAUACCGGAUAAUAUUUUGAACCGCAUGGUUCAAAAGUGAAAGACGGUCUUGCUGUCACUUAUAGAUGGAUCCGCGCUGCAUUAGCUAGUUGGUAAGGUAACGGCUUACCAAGGCAACGAUGCAUAGCCGACCUGAGAGGGUGAUCGGCCACACUGGAACUGAGACACGGUCCAGACUCCUACGGGAGGCAGCAGUAGGGAAUCUUCCGCAAUGGGCGAAAGCCUGACGGAGCAACGCCGCGUGAGUGAUGAAGGUCUUCGGAUCGUAAAACUCUGUUAUUAGGGAAGAACAUAUGUGUAAGUAACUGUGCACAUCUUGACGGUACCUAAUCAGAAAGCCACGGCUAACUACGUG